rnacentral:misc_RNA from 1 species
UUUCCGUAGGUGAACCUGCGGAAGGAUCAUUACUGAAGUGAGUACUCAAUCAUUGUAGCUUCUUCCCAUUGUUCUAGCUUUGACCGUUUGUAAUGUUGGGGAUUUAACAUGGUUGCGAGAAAUCUUGGCAGUCACCAACAAUUUAUCGUAUCCUUUAUUAAUUUGAAGUGAAUUCAUUUUGAGAUUACAUCAUAAAAUAAACUAUAAAUAUAAAUUUCAACAACAGAUCUCUUGGUUAUCGCUUCGAUGUAGAACGUAGUAGAACGGAAGAGCACACGU